GGCAGCAGUGGGGAAUCUUCCGCAAUGGACGCAAGUCUGACGGAGCAACGCCGCGUGAGUGAUGAAGGUUUUCGGAUCGUAAAACUCUGUUGUUAGGGAAGAACAAGUAUCGGAGUCACUGCCGGUACCUUGACGGUACCUAACGAGAAAGCCACGGCUAACUACGUGCCAGCAGCCGCGGUAAUACGUAGGUGGCAAGCGUUGUCCGGAUUUAUUGGGCGUAAAGCGCGCGCAGGCGGUCUUUUAAGUCUGAUGUGAAAUCUUACAGCUUAACUGUAAGCGGUCAUUGGAAACUGGGAGACUUGAGUGCAGAAGAGGAGAGUGGAAUUCCAUGUGUAGCGGUGAAAUGCGUAGAGAUAUGGAGGAACACCAGUGGCGAAGGCGACUCUCUGGUCUGUAACUGACGCUGAGGCGCGAAAGCGUGGGGAUCAAACAGGAUUAGAUACCCUGGUAGUCCACGCCGUAAACGAUGAGAAUCACUAGU
rnacentral:rRNA from 1 species